GGAACUUCCCGUACCAAAUAAUAAUUGCCUUUGGUGCAGAUGGAUUGGCAUAACUGAACACUUCAAGGCGAGAACUGUUGGAAGAAAUCCAGACAAAUUAGAGAAUGCAUGAUGACAAAUCCUAGGAUUACUAGUAAAUGGCAACCACCUAAUCAGAGACUUGGAAUCAAAUAUAGAGGAUGAGGGCAAUGCAAAACAAAGAAUAUUGGAAAAACAUUAUUAGCUGAGGUAUAGGUUGCUGCUGCUGCUGCUGCAGCAAUUCUUGGUCGACUAUCAAAAUAAAUGGAAGGCUCUCGUGCUUGUAGGCUUUGAAGUAAACAAUGGAAUUCAGUAAAGAUUAAAAGAUGAAAAGGGCUCAGACAAAAAGUUGCAACAUCAUCGCGCUCUGCAAAGGGCUUAAUCAGUGAGGACAAAUGAAUUCGAAGGUGUCAUUGUCUAGGGCAGAGUUUUGGAGGCCACAUUAUCUCUGCUGCGAAGCUGCUGCUGCAAUUCUUGGUUGACUCUCAAAAUAAAUGGAAAGCUCUUCAGCAAUUA